GGGGGUUGGAUAGACUGUCUAAUGCUAAUGGAAUAGAUCAAAUCUAAACCCAGACAUUUGUGACAGAGAAGAUUAAAUAAUUUAAUUUUACUGUCUACAUGUAUAAGGUCCCAUUGUAAGUUAUGGGUCAAAACUCAGAUUUGCCAGACACAUAGUCUGGACAAAACUUAAAGAAACUGUUUUUAUCUGACAGCAAAUGUAAGUUAUAG